GUCAGAAAAGGCCCUUGCUCCUGGUUAUCCGUCGACCUAAUUUUUCUUUUUUAAAAAAAAAAUCGAUGAACGAAUCUUUUUUAAUAUUUGUAUCGAAUAUAAAAUAAUAUUUUUAUUUUCCUUGACAAGGAUUUAAAGGCGCCGAUGUCUGCAGUGGACAUCUAACAACCCUUGAUUCUGUUACAAUAGAAAUUAUAAUGCCGGAUUUGGGUUCAUUACAUGCGGAUAUCAGUGCUGUUUAAUC
rnacentral:lncRNA from 1 species